AGUGAACGCUGGCGGUAGGCCUAACACAUGCAAGUCGAACGGCAGCACAGUAAGAGCUUGCUCUUACGGGUGGCGAGUGGCGGACGGGUGAGGAAUACAUCGGAAUCUACUUUUUCGUGGGGGAUAACGCAGGGAAACGUACGCUAUUACCGCAUACGACCUACGGGUGAAAGCAGGGGAUCUUAGGACCUUGCGCGAUUGAAUGAGCCGAUGUCGGAUUAGCUAGUUGGCGGGGUAAAGGCCCACCAAGGCGACGAUCCGUAGCCGGUCUGAGAGGAUGAUCAGCCACACUGGAACUGAGACACGGUCCAGACUCCUACGGGAGGCAGCAGUGGGGAAUAUUGGACAAUGGGCGCAAGCCUGAUCCAGCCAUACCGCGUGGGUGAAGAAGGCCUUCGGGUUGUAAAGCCCUUUUGUUGGGAAAGAAAAGCAGCAGGUUAAUACCCCGCUGUUCUGACGGUACCCAAAGAAUAAGCACCGGCUAACUUCGUG
rnacentral:rRNA from 1 species